rnacentral:tRNA from 1 species
AUUUAUAUAAUAUAAAAAGUAUAUUUGACCUCCAAUCAGAAUGUCUAAAUAAAUUUAGUAUAAAUA